rnacentral:pre_miRNA from 1 species
AGUGGAAUUGCUGGGUCAUAUGGUAAGUAAGUAUAUGUUUAAUUUUAAAAGAAACCGUUAAACAGUUUUCCAAACUGACUGUACCAUUUUACAUUCCCACCAGCAAU